rnacentral:rRNA from 1 species
UACAGAGGGGCAAGCGUUAUUCGGAAUUAUUGGGCGUAAAGGGCGCGUAGGCGGCUUCGCAAGUGGAAGGUGAAAUCCCUCGGCUAACGAGGAACUGCCCUCCAAACUGCGUGGCUUGAGUCCGGGAGAGGUGAGUGGAAUCCUGGUGUAGCGGUGAAAUGCGCAGAGUAUCAGGAGGAACACCGAUGGCGAAGCAGCUCGCUGGGACGGUAGCUGACGCUGAGCGCGAAGCGUGGGAGCAAACAGG